GGGGUUGUAGCUCAGUUGGUUAGAGCGCUACGUUGACAUCGUAGAGGUCCCCAGUUCGAAUCUGGGCAACCCCA
rnacentral:tRNA from 1 species